rnacentral:rRNA from 1 species
GACGAACGCUGGCGGCGUGCUUAACACAUGCCAGUCGAACGGAAAGGCCCUGCUUUUGUGGGGUGCUCGAGUGGCGAACGGGUGAGUAACACGUGAGUAACCUGCCCUUGACUUUGGGAUAACUUCAGGAAACUGGGGCUAAUACCGGAUAGGAGCUCCUGCUGCAUGGUGGGGGUUGGAAAGCUUCGGCGGUUGGGGAUGGACUCGCGGCUUAUCAGCUUGUUGGUUGGGUAGUGGCUUACCAAGGCUUAGACGGGUAGCCGGCCUGAGAGGGUGGCCGGCCACAUUGGGACUGAGAUACGGCGCAGACGGGUACGGGAGGCAGCAGGGGGGAGUAUGGCACAAUGGGCGGAAGCCUGAGGAAGCAGCGCUGCGUGCGGGAUGACGGCCAUCGGGUGGUAAACCGCAGUCGCCUGUGACGAAGCGUGAGUGACGGUAAUGGGUAAAGAAGCACCGGCUAACUACGUG